UAUGGUAAUGCCAGCCGCCGCGGUAAUACGGAGGAUGCGAGCGUUAUCCGGAUUUAUUGGGUUUAAAGGGAGCGCAGACGGGUCGUUAAGUCAGCUGUGAAAGUUUGGGGCUCAACCUUAAAAUUGCAGUUGAUACUGGCGUCCUUGAGUGCGGUUGAGGUGUGCGGAAUUCGUGGUGUAGCGGUGAAAUGCUUAGAUAUCACGAAGAACUCCGAUUGCGAAGGCAGCACACUAAUCCGUAACUGACGUUCAUGCUCGAAAGUGUGGGUAUCAAACAGG
rnacentral:rRNA from 1 species